rnacentral:rRNA from 1 species
CGGGGGGAGCAAGCGUUGUUCGGAUUUACUGGGCGUAAAGGGCGCGUAGGCGGCCACCGCAAGUCAAUUGUGAAAUCUCCGGGCUUAACUCGGAAAGGUCAACUGAUACUGCGGGGCUAGAGUGCGGAAGGGGCAACUGGAAUUCUCGGUGUAGCGGUGAAAUGCGUAGAUACCGAGAGGAACACCUGCGGCGAAGGCGGGUUGCUGGGCCGACACUGACGCUGAUGCGCGAAAGCCAGGGGAGCGAACGGGAUUAGAUACCCCGGUAGUCCUGGCCUUAAACGAUGAAUGCUUGGUGUCUGGGGUUAUAAAGUCCCCGGGUGCCGUCGCUAGCGCUUUAAGCAUUCCGCCUGGGGAGUACGGUCGCAAGACUG